GGGGAUUUAGCUCAAUGGUAGAGCACUUGCCUAGCAAGCGCAAGGCCCUGGGUUCGGUCCCCAGCUCCG
rfam:Rattus norvegicus chromosome 16, whole genome shotgun sequence.